ACAUCCAACAGUGAGAGAGGAUCCAUCAAUGUGCUUUCUAUCUUGAGUACGUAGCUAGCAGACUUAACACGCUAGUUUACUGUCUAGACACGAUUCUACUGUCAGAAUGCCAGAUCGCUGCACAUUUUGCAUGCCACUCCAUCAUUGCAACUAGAUCACCUGGGAUGCAUUGAAGGCAUUGCAAAGAAAGGAAUCCAUUUCCCAGAACAAAAUGCACGGCUCUCAUGAAUGAAGUUAUAGGGCCCGCAGUGCAUGAGGAACUAAUAAAUAAAAUUGUGGGGCUCUCGGUUGGCCUAACCCUGCA